UUUCUGUGAAGCAAUUAGGACUCUGACCUCUGGGGAAGGAGGAGGGACCUGCUCCCCUCGGAGAAAUAGACCCAUCUUCUCUCUUCACCGGCUGGUCGAUUCAGAGUACAUGGUGAAGAUUCUGCAAACUCUUCCUGCAGACGCCCAGACAGCAGACAUCUCGGACUCAGCUCUGCCUGCCGUGGGCCAGAGUCCUGCAUAAAAGAAUGGGCGCAACUGUGAUCCAAUAAAACUUUAUUUAUGGACACCGGAA